GCUUUGACACCUGCUUGCUGGUCUGAGGGGGUGUUUUUUGCACAAUGCUGGAGGCGCAGCUCUCUCUGUGGUUUGGUCGGACUCUCAGGCCACUGACUCAAAACAAAACCCCUGUGCUCUGCCUUUGUGGUUUCCUCUCUCUUUCCUUUCUCUCUCGCUCUCUCUCUCUCUCUCUCUCUCUUUCUCUCUCUCUGAUUUCCUGUGGUAUUUCAGAAAGAGCAGAACUGUGUGUGUUCUCUUGAGAUAAUCAGUGAUUACAUGCAGUAUAUUUAUGAAGAAUAACUCAUUUUUCUUUGAUCAGAGAGCUGCCACACGUCUGUUGCAAGUAGUUUGAGGAUUACUAAUCAUGGCCUUUUGUUGGCCAUUUUAUUACCUUUCACUGAGCUCAAACAACCCUUUGACAUGUUGGUAUAUUAGGAGUUUAAACAUUCUCCAAAUGUAAACAUUUUGAUUUAAUCCCAGAUUAGUUUCCAAAAACUCUUCGUAAUAAUUCCUUUACCCUUACAGCCCUUGUGAUGCCUUGCUGGGGGUGGCAAUCAAAUGGUGAACAAGCAAAAUAAAGUCAAAAACAUGCAUUGCCUUUCCUUAGCCCUCUGCAUGCACCCCUUUCAUACGUUACCAGGCAUCUCUCUCUCUCAUUUCAGUGGGGUCAGAACUACAUGUGCUCUUUUGAGAUAAUCAGUGAUUACACACCAUUUCUUUUUGAAGAAUAAUACACUUCAAGAACUCAGCUCAAAUGGCUGUCAAAUCUUUAACAAACAGUUUGAAAGCUUUGUAAUCGUGGUCUUGAUUGAACCACAUUGCCUACUUUCAAAAUACCCAAACCUCCAUGAUCGUACAGUAGGGUGUUUAAAAAUGUCACAAUUGUAAACAUUGUGAUUUCAUUCAGGAUAUGAAUUGGGAGCCCAAUACCCCUGCCUGUGAGAAGGACCUGUGCUGUCCAUGGUCCUGCAGCUCUCCCAGGUUGCUUGGAUACCUGGGUGCUGGAGGGACAGCACAUCAUCACCCUUCCUGGCACCACAACCUGCACAGCUUAGAUUUUUAAACAAAAGUGCUGAUUGUAGUUAUGCAAGAAGUUUAAAGGAGCCUGUUUUGAAAAAGUUUAAUUGCUGUUCAUGCAGUCAUGGAUUUUGAGAGCUUAAUUUAUGAUUUUUAAAAAUGUAUGUAUUUAUUUCAUUUAUUUAUUUAAAAACUUACAUAUUCUAAGUUUAAAUGCAACUAGGUGCAUUGAACUGGCCCUUCAUUGAGACAAGGCCAGGAGAGAUAACAGAGGUAGUCCCCUUAAUGAGGCCAUUGUGAUGUCAUCCAGUGACAGAACCUCAGGCCUCAGACAUUGAGACCCUGGAUAUGGACAAUCUACAUCAUAUGAUAGAAGUUGAAAAAUAUCAAAAAUGCGUGUGAAUGCAAAAUCCUGUAUCAAUCCACCUACGGGCAGCACUGCCUCCUACUCCUGGAAUGGGACAGCAGAGAAAUUAAGCACCAUGGACACUGCACAGAAACACGCACACACACACACAUACACACACGCACACAUACACAAACGCACAUGCACACACACAUAGAGACGCACACACACAUACAUGAGCACACACCCACAACCACACACAUACACCCACGCACACACACAUACACACAUACACACACAUGCACACACGCACCCACACACAUAUACACCCACGCACACACACACACAGACAUAUUAAUUACUGUAGUAUGAAUUGAGGUGCCUUUUUCAAUCUAAAGUUACUCUUAAAGUAAGCCAGUUAAAACAUUGUGAAGACUUCCACAUUAUUGCACUGUAAAUAACAACUGGAUUAUUAUUAUUAUUUGACCUUUAUUAAGCAGGAUGGAAAUAAUGACAUCAGUGUUCUUUUUUUGCACUGAGGGUGUUUAUCAGCAGAUGCUUGUGCAGCUCUUGUGCACCCAAAUUAUUAAACAGCCAAUCAAAUCUGCCCCUGACAUGUGCCCUCCUACUGUUCAGUGAAUGACAAGAAAUUAUUACCUCAAGUCCUCCUCUUAUCUGUACAGUUUGAGUUUUACAGCGCAGAGGACAAACAGGGUCUCAGGCAGAGGAGAGUCUCCAGAAGAGGAGAGUUCAGAUACAGUGAUGCCGCCACUCUGUGCUGUUCUUGUGCUUUUCAGCAAAGUCUAUGGUCUGCUUGGGAAGAACAUAGUUCAGCCUCACGCGCUUAUGACAGCUCAGCUUGGAGACACUGUAACUCUCCCAUGUUUCCAUGCUAAAGAUGAUGUGCCAUGGUACAGAUGGUUUAAGCAGCCUC